AUUGAACGCUGGCGGCAUGCCUUACACAUGCAAGUCGAACGGCAGCGCGGGAGCAAUCCUGGCGGCGAGUGGCGAACGGGUGAGUAAUGCAUCGGAACGUGUCCCGUAGUGGGGGAUAACCCGCCGAAAGGCGGGCUAAUACCGCAUAUGCUCUACGGAGGAAAGCGGGGGACCGCAAGGCCUCGCGCUAUGGGAGCGGCCGAUGUCCGAUUAGCUAGUUGGCGGGGUAAAGGCCCACCAAGGCGACGAUCGGUAGCUGGUCUGAGAGGAUGAUCAGCCACACUGGAACUGAGACACGGUCCAGACUCCUACGGGAGGCAGCAGUAGGGGAAUAUUGGACAAUGGGGGCGAACCCUAAUCCAGCCAUGCCGCGUGAGUGAAGAAGGCCCUCGGGUUGUAAAGCUCUUUUGUCCGGAAGAAAGCAAUCGGUUAAACCCGGUUGUUCUGACGGUACCGGAAGAAUAAGCACCGGCUAACUUCGUGCCAGCAG
rnacentral:rRNA from 1 species